GCUGAACAGCACACAGAGAUGCAGAGCCAUGCUGUGAAUAUUUUGGUCUAAGCUGGGGGGCUCCCCUUCUGACAUUAGCAUCUAUUAUCUUCCUGGCUGAAUUCUUCCCUAAAGGGCGCUCGGCAUCCCUAGGUGGUUGCCAGUGUCAAGGCAACCUCACCAACUGUGAAGGAAUCCUGAGCUCCUGGAACAGGCAGAAAAGAAACCUGGCAGGAAGAUUUGGAGGUGGCUGCAAGCUGGCCUGACUUCUGCAGUGAAACAAGUCCCAGGAGCUGGAGGUACACCAUG
rnacentral:lncRNA from 1 species